rnacentral:lncRNA from 1 species
CUGCAUGCAUUAAUUGUAAGAUUUUUAUGUCUUUAAAUCUCACUCAGGUGGAGACUAGGAAUUUGAUUAUAACUGGACUUGUAAGUCUUGGAGAGAAGUGUUUCAGUUUAAGUCCAAGACUACUAAGAUUCCUAAUUCAUAGUGGAUUAGAACUCCUAAUUCUAAUGCAAUAAGGAGAGGUUGUGGACUCCUUGAUGGGUAAGGAGUCCCGACUGAUGCAUAUAAAUACAUAGUCCCUGCUCAUAUCGGAUUACCCCAUUGUAAAGAGCUCAUACUCCAUCUGUGAGAGAGUAUACAUAAAUCGAUAUUGAGAAGAAGUGAUGUGUGUCAAGUUGCUCGUUCAAUCAUUCCAAUGGCUACAAAACAAAGUAGUGUUCUCUUAUAUGCAAUCUAAUUGGUUUACAAGUGGUAUCAGAGUUGAAAUUUAGGCCAGCUGAAAGAUAAAAUUUUCUCUAAUACCAACAAAUAACCUAGAAAAUUUUCUGCUGCUUCCUCUAUGUGGAUGGUAUUGUUGGCAAGGUGGAAAUCUGAUUUCUGCCUUUGUCUUAGCUUUAUCUUAUGUCUAGUGUGAGUCUGGUUUGGUUUCUUUUUGUUCAUCUUAUUCUCUCAUUUUCUCUUAAUCAUUAACUCCGAUGCCUAUUAAUGGGUUGAGUGAUGAGUUUGUUGUGUUAAUUGGCUGGGUUAUCUAUCAAAUGUUUUAAGGUUUUUUUUGUUUUGUUAAUAGGUUAGGUUGUUA